ACAAUGGGCGCAAGCCUGAUCCAGCAAUGCCGCGUGAGUGAUGAAGGUCUUAGGGUCGUAAAGCUCUUUUACCAGGGAUGAUAAUGACAGUACCUGGAGAAUAAGCUCCGGCUAACUCCGUGCCAGCAGCCGCGGUAAUACGGAGGGAGCUAGCGUUGUUCGGAAUUACUGGGCGUAAAGCGCACGUAGGCGGCUACACAAGUCAGAGGUGAAAGCCCGGGGCUCAACCCCGGAACUGCCUUUGAAACUAGGUGGCUAGAAUCUUGGAGAGGUUAGUGGAAUUCCGAGUGUAGAGGUGAAAUUCGUAGAUAUUCGGAAGAACACCAGUGGCGAAGGCGACUGACUGGACAAGUAUUGACGCUGAGGUGCGAAAGCGUGGGGAGCAAACA
rnacentral:rRNA from 1 species